GGGUCGUUAGCUCCGUUGGUAGAGCAGUUUACUUUUAAUCAAUUGGUCGCAGGUUCGAAUCCUGCACGACCCACCA
rnacentral:tRNA from 1 species